UUUGAUUUGGUAUAAGGAUGUAAUAAUGUGUCCCUUUUUUUUUUUUUUUUUAAGUCCAUGAAAUAUUUUCUACAUGAUCACAUUGAAAUGUGUUUUGCUUGUAUGACUUUUGAUGGAUGAAGUUUGUGAUUUCACGAUUCAUUUUCAUUAGGCAUUUAUUGAAAAGACAACUUUAUGUUUUUAAUAUUGUUGAUUCACUAUGUGAAAGACUAUCCUUACUAAGCUCUACACGUUUUUGUUUCUUUCUUUCAUUGCUAUUUAGUAUUACACAGUUUUAAUUAAAAACACACAGUUGAUCAGAAACCAGGU